UACGAAGGGGGCUAGCGUUGUUCGGAAUUACUGGGCGUAAAGCGCACGUAGGCGGACAUUUAAGUCAGGGGGUGAAAUCCCAGAGCUCAACUCUGGAACUGCCUUUGAUACUGGGUGUCUUGAGUCCGGAAGAGGUGAGUGGAAUUCCGAGUGUAGAGGUGAAAUUCGUAGAUAUUCGGAGGAACACCAGUGGCGAAGGCGGCUCACUGGUCCGGUACUGACGCUGAGGUGCGAAAGCGUGGGGGAGCAAACAGG
rnacentral:rRNA from 1 species